CAAGUGAUUCAUGAGGUGUCACCCGUGGUGCUCAGAGCAGAGGGGAGUACUGCAUGACGGGGGAGAAGGAAGAGGAAGAUGACUUUCAAUCACACCACUCCAAACCUUUCACCUCUGAGCCCCACUGCUGGUUAUGUCAUCACCCCGUUUAUAUUCCUGUUCCUGAUUGGAUGUGCUGUAGCAGUGAUUGUAUAUGUGAGGAAAAAAAUAAGAGUGGAUGAAUUACGUCACAAGCUGAUUCCACUGUACAACUACGACCCUGCAGAGGAGUACGAAUGGAGAGAUGAUGACGUGGACGACGAUGAGGACGUGACUGAACCAUUGUACACGGAGGGAAGACUGUCCUUUUCAUCUGAUUAUGGAACGUGAAAACAAAUGUAUCAUUAAAAACGGACGAUACACACACCAUUCAUCACCACAUGUCUUAUUUCUAAAUAUAUUAAAAAUAAAAAAUAAGGCGCGGAAAGCAUUCCGUCUGGGUUCUUAAUGUGUUUGUUAACAUCAAGGUUAUUCAACACAGUAGCCAAUAGAUGGCACUGUUACUCUACUUUAAAUCUCAGUGGACACCGAUAAAAGAGGAGAAAUCGUCAUUUUUAAAACUAAGUUCAAAUAUAAAUGAUGUUUAUUGUUGAUGUUUAUGAGUAGUUUUCUCUGUCUCUGUGCUGCUACUUUGACCGUGCCCAUGUGUCAGCUGAUUAGGAGCCAAAGUCACAGCUGUUGGUGUUUGCUAAUCAGUAGCUCUGUCUUAAUUUUGAGGAUUUGCAGGCUGCUGCAGUAUGAGAUCACAAAGAAUGGACAGACGAGGUGUUCGUCACAUGGGACCACAUUGGUUCCUGACCGUCACUGUGCUGUCCACAGCUCUGGUCCUCCCAGCUGUAACCCUGGACACCCUGCUGUGUCACUUUUGUCCUCUACAGUACAAAGGCAAAACCUGUACCAACCUGACCACCCAGUGUCCGCCGGACCAUCUCUGCUCCAGCUCCAGAGGUUACUUCGGCUCCGUCCACAUCGUCUCAUCCCAGGGCUGUUUGAGCCGCACGCUCUGUGGUUCCUACCAGAUCCUCUCCCACAGAGGGAUCGAGUACAACGCCAGUCACACCUGCUGCUGUGGACAUAAAUGUAACAGCAAACCGAAGUCGGACUCCAGUCUGAAGAAGCUCCUGGGGCUGGAGACACAGGGGACAGACGACGUCAGUAUGAACCAUGUCCUCAGACAGAACUCUUGGGAUUCAUGUGGUAACUACACAACAGUGAGGAACAACACGGUACCUUCUGUCACAGCUUAGACAGACCCAGACUGCCCAGAGGCCUGUUAGCCACAGGUCCUUUAACGCACCUCUGAAAGACAUUAACAUUUGGCCAUAUGUUAAUGCUGUGAUAGUUGGUGUUUGUUGUAAGUAUUGUAUAUAUUUCCAAUGAGAAAAAAUAAAUAAAUCAUAGAUCUAUGUGCUCCUUUACAAAUAAGAGCAAAAUUAAACAAAGACUUUGUGGUGAUUGAUGUAUGUCAUAAUUGAAGAGUGAAUGUAGAACAGGUGUGUUUCCUCAGACAGAUCUGGAGUCAGUUUUUGGAGGUUUUCUCUGUAGGAUACAAAAUGUGCAGGCUGACCAUGUCCCAGUUUCUGCAGUUGUCUGUUUUGUGCCUUCACCUCCUCCCUUCGGUGCUGUGUGACAAUCUGCGCUGCUACUACAGCCCCAUCAUGGAGAAGCAGAAGUCAUUCAAGCCCAUUGUGACAGAGUGUCCUCCCGACGAGCUGUGCUUCAGGGCAGAUGGUCGCUUCGGGAAUCACAGCGCCCUGUCGGCUCGAGGCUGCAUGGCCAAGAAAGACUGCAGCCAGGUGCACAAACUCCGUUUCAAAGGAAGUGUCUACACCAUGAGCUACGCCUGCUGUGAAGGGCCGUACUGUAAUUCCUGCCUGGUGGUCAGGGCCUAUCACCUCCUCUUAGCUCUGACACUUGUAACUGUGGUGGCCAGCUUCCUGUGAUCAAAGACUCCAGGUGGUCCGUGCUACAAGCAUUUUAGUUUCAUGUCAACGAGGAUGACGAUGAACUGCAGCCUCAGCAUAGAGUGUGGAUGAAGGCCAGCACCAGUGUAGUGGGAGAGGAUUUUAAUGUGUUUUAAUUUUAUAUUUUCAAAUGUUUUUAUUAUUGUGUAUCCUUGAAUAAACAUACCACGCUCUGUGUUCUCUAAAA